AUAAUUGUCAAUUUUUCAAUAUCUGCACUGUUCAUUACCUAAAUGCUUUUGAUGUAGCUAUCACUAAAUUCUUAAAAUUCUAUAAAUCAGACUCGGAAAAGAAUUCCAAUAAAAUCAAAGAAAGUGGGUCGGUUCCAAACUGCUUAAAAAAGAAAACAGUUAAAGAAAAGUUUAAUAUUUGUCUACAACCCAUGAAUGGAAAAUCUAUUACUAAUUAUUAUUUAUUAAUCUCAGGGUAAUUAAAGAAAAAACAUAAAAAGGUUGAAAGAUUGUUGUUUGCUUAAUUUCCAGCGGCAAAUAUUUGAUAGGAAUUCAUGAAAUCAUUAUCACAAAAUAAACAUUAUACACGAAUACUCAUAAAUCAGAAAUGCA
rnacentral:lncRNA from 1 species